AGGAACGAACACAGCAAGCACUGAGCUCCAGCCUCCAGGGCAGGGACCCAGAGAAGAGGAGAGGACUGAGAAAGGGGGAGGGGGAAAGAACAAACAAAGUGGUAGUGUAUACCGGGAGACUCUGGGGGAAGAGUGCAGACAGAACCGUGAGCUUGAGGUCCCGAAGGGAGCUCCCAGACAGGGCUGGGGAGUGUGUGAGCUCCGGGUUUCCCCGGGGGGGGGGGGGGGGGGGGGGAGAAAGCAGGUGGUGCAGGGAGUUUCUCAGGAGGAACCUGAGGGAGGGAGCGCAAAAUCUGUGCCUUAGUGUAUAUCUCAGGAACAAUAACAACAAACAGCGUUUAUUUAGCAUUUUAAGGUCUGAAAAGCACUUCACAUUUCAUCUGAUCCUCGCAACUCUGAAAGAUGGACAGCAUCAGAGAACCUUUCCAGCGUGGAGAUGAAUAUAAAUCCAUUCUCACUUCAUAUAGAGCUGUCACAUCUGGAGACCUCUACUUACCAUGUUGGCAGGUGACUCCAAAUUAUGAUCUUAAGUCUCAGGAGCUUAAGAUCUCAUACUUCAUCUCACUUCAAAAGACUCAUGAUUUCACCAGUGUGGGAACGCGCUCAACAGACAGAUAUCACAACCUCUCCACUGCCUCAGUAGACAUCCUCCCGAGUUGCCAAGUUCCAAAAAUGUAUUCCUUAGUGGCUGACCCUAAGGUAAUGAGCCUCUCUGCACUUUGGAGAGACUCUUAAAAGACAGAUGAAGCCUAAGACCUGCCAGAGUUAUACUGGAUCAGCUCACAGCUUCCAAAAACCCAGGGUCAAAUAUUGGACCUGGAGAAGAGAUGAGGAAAUGCCUCUCCUGACUUGUGGGAGAAGUAGGAGACUGUCAGUGUGCAAUGUUGUUGGGGCUGCCAGAUUGGUCAAUGUGUUAGCUGAUUUUCCUUAACUGUUUUUAUCUUUGUUACAAAGGAACUCUCAUUGGAGGAUCAGGGAAGAGAACAGCCAGAAAUAGCAAAAGACAUGACAGAAGGAGAAGGAAGAGAAAGAGGAGAAAAAGAAGAACCCAAACAACGAUGGGCUGGCUAUUGGACAAACACAUGAGACAAAAAGCCUUCAAACUAUAUCUAAAUGGUUCCUUUUUCCUUUCUUUUUGCCCUUCCUAGAAUGCAUCCCCUCCUUACAUUUGCCUCAUGGAAUUUCUCACUUUCUUCAAGACUCUGCUCAGGCAGCAGCACUUUCUAAGUGAAGCCUUUACUGAUCCCUUUCACCCCCACAAAGAGCUGGAGGUCUCUUUCCCUAACUACCUUGUCUUUAUUUUGUAUUUAUUCUAAAUAGGCUUAUUCCUUAUAUGUACACAUUGCCUCUACCAAUAAAACAUGAGCUCUUUGA